AGAAUCGAUCUAUCGGAACUCCGCCGCGGGACGAGGAUAAUCUCGAGAAGGGUAGAGGAGCGUCAGGAGGGGAGGAAGAGGAGGAGGAGGGCGUCGUUGUUUGGCCGUCCACGCGAGACCGCGAGCCGCUCCGGUAUUGGUUAAUACCGCACUCUCUUCCUCGGAGCUGUCCCUUUUCUUCGAGACGAUUUAAGCCGCUUUGUGAGCGGCCUUUGCGCGCGAUUCGCUACCGCCGCCGUUUCUUUGAAUCCUAUCGGAGAUCUAUUUCCCCCCCGCCCCCUUUUUUCCCUCUUUCUCUUACCUUCCUUUUUUUCUUUCUUCUCUUUCCUUUUUUUCUGCUGCUCAACACGCCAUUUUAACGACGACGAAAACGUUUACUCAAAAUUUUGGGACUGACUAAACCAACAGUAUUAUCAUAGACAUUUAAUAUUGUAUAUAAUGUAAUAAUAAAAAUAUUCGAUAAUGUAAUAACAGAGAUAAAAGAAAUAUGAGGUUAGAUAUAGACAAUUUUUGUCGAGAUUUUAUUAAUUCGUACGACGAUACGAUCAAACGAUUUAUCAUGUCGUUUAUCAUGUCGGAUUUCUUUUAUUCUAUCUUUGCAACGUAAGAAAUCUGUGAUUCCACGUGGAUUGGAAAGUGCGAAGAAAAAGAAAGAAAGAAAGAAAGAAAAAAGAAAGAGAGGAAGGAAGGAAGUAAGGAAGAGUCAGAGUGUGGUGCAAUAAGGUGGACGAGAAAGAGAGAAAGUAAAAGGAGAAGGAGGAAGGAGAAGUAAAAGAAAAAGAAACAGACGAUUCGAGAGCAAAAAGGAGAGCAGAGCUCGGCGUGAGAGGGUCGCCGUAGAUAAAAAGAAAAGAAAGAAAAAGGAAAACCAUUCUAACUUCCUCUCUAAAAUACGAACUUUGAGAAGAAUUCCUUUCCCAAUUACAAUCUUUCCGAAAAAGACUAUUUUCCUUUCGAAUAGUUCGUUAGAAAAAAGAUAAAUAAAUAAAUAAAUAAAUAAAUAAAAAAGAAGGUAAAAAGUGUGUCAACGAUAAGUUUCACAUACCGCGUAUGAUAUAAAAAUAAAAUCAAAUUAAACUAGAGGAAAAAAAUUAUUUGCUUUUGGAAGGGCCCAUAAGUCGAUUAGACCGACCCUGACGACGACAACGACGACGACGACGACGACGACGUCGUCGUCACCGUCACCGUCACCAUAGCCGUCACACCGUCGUCGUCGAGCCGACUCGGCAGCGAUCGUGCGAGACCGUGGCCCGCCGUCACGGAGGGGUAAAGAGGUCUACAAAUUCGAGAGAGCGCCUAGAGAGAAAGAGACGUACGAAAGGUAGGAGGGUAGAGAAACGCGAGCCGAAGUCUGAGCGGGCGGGACGAAACACACGUAAAUAUCCAUAUACAUAUACAUAUCAUAUGUACAUACAUAUAUGCACAAGUGAGUACAUAUAUAUAUAUGUACAUUACGUGAGUAUAUACAUAUAGGAAAGAUAUGUAUGCGUGUUGCGUGAGACGACGAGAGUAAAGAGCGGGAGAGAGGUGCCGAAGGAGUAGGAAGAGGUGAAGGAAGGACCUAUAGUCGGGGAAGGGAGGCAAGGGGAAGAGGAAUGGUGAAGGGAAACGGCAGAGCUUGCGCGGACAAAGGGAAUCUGCGCGGCGGUGGUGGUGGCGGUGGCGAUGGCGGUGGCGGCGGCGGCGGCGGCGGCGGCGACGUAGCUCCAGUCGCGUACCAACUUACGUACGGUAACAACGCACAUAUACACCUACGUACAGAUACAUACAUAUAUACACGAUGGAACGGGUGCUAAGCAUAAAUACACGCGCGCACCAGAAAAAAGGAGGCGGGGAAGAGAGGGGAAACAGGGGGGUAGAGAGAGAGAGAGAGAGAGAGAGAGAGAACGAGGCCGCGUAUGGUGGCAGGCCAGCCAGACGGCGAAGGUUCGCGCACGCAUGCACACGAUGCGGUGCAGAAACCACGCCGCCGUGAGUACAGUCGACGAAAGAAGCACAAAUUUAAUCUCUCCUUCUCCCUCCCUCUUGCCCACCCCCCUCUCGCACUCAGUCUUUCCCUCUCACCCGUUUUACUCAAUGUAGUUUGUUUCUCUUUCUCGAACGACGAUCGGUAGAGGAGAAAGGGACGGAGAGAGCGAGAGAAUGACGAUGGGAGCGAGGGAGGGAGAGAGACUCGAAAGGAAUAAUACGGUCAGGAGAAAGAAGUUCGAACUACUCUCCUCCUCCCACCCCCACCUCACAACCGAGCCCACAACACAAUAUCCUCCUUUUCCUUCUCCUACUUCUACUCCACCGAUCGUCUCUCUUUCUCUUUCUUCUUCUCAUCGAAGCAAGAGAGCUCGCGUUCUCGGUCGUUCGCGCGACGAAAAGAAUUAUCGCUCUUACGUAUACAUAUAUCCAGUAUUAUACACGUACAUACGACGGCAGAGAGCCGGCAGUGAUGAUGGCGGCUGGCGAAUUCAGCACAGCGUGGCCCGAACACCACGGAGGAGAGUACAGUCGAAUCAUCGCUUCGUAUAAAAUCUCUCCACGGAAGGAAACAACUAUAUACGCGGACGGCUUUCUUUUCGUCUUCCUCCGCGUUGGCUCGCUCGGAUUCUCGAGAUCUCACCCUACAGACUUCGAAGUUUCUCUCGAAAAGAAAGGAUACCGAUCGUGAGUGAACAAGGUCAUCGGAGAACGCCGAUGCUUAGCGCGCUCUCUUUCCCGUGUAAUCGAUCGAUGAAUCUUACAAGAUGGCGACAGAACGUUUUCGUCACAAUUUUGAAACGAAAUAAAAUAAAAUAGAAAAAAAAAAUUACACAAAUAAAUAAUUAAAUAAACAGAUAAAAAAAAGCAUGAAGGUUACGUAAAAUAUCUCCACGAUUUGCAUGUAAAAAGAAACAUUUAGCCUAUCUCUUCGAGAUAAAAAAAGAAAGAAGAAAGAAAAAGAAAAUUAAUUGAAGAAAAAAUACAAAACAAAGCGGAAAGAAAUAAAAAAAAAUUGUUCUGAGCGACGCUUAAAUUGGAGGCCGAAGCAGAAAAUCUUGGACGGAAGAUCGAAAGGGGAGGGGGCGGAGAGGAAGGGGUGGUUAGGUAGGUACCAAUCACGCUCGUGAGCAUCGUUGCGUGCGAGCACGUCCUCUGUUCGACGGAGUCUCGCGCGCAAAAAAAAAAGACGAAAAAAAAGGGGAAAGGCAUGAGAAACAAAAAAAAACAAGAAGAAAAAAAUAAAAAUGACGAAACUCACGAGCCACCCACCGGGAGCAGGUUCUCCCCCCGCACAUCCCACCGCCGCCACCGUCGUCACCGCGCCACUCGCGCAUCGAGUCACGUGCGCAAGCGCGUUACGUACUUACACGCAUUUUCGUGAAACGAGAAACGAAAUACGACGAGAGAGAGAGGGGGGUAGGGAGAGAGAGUGAGAGAGGGGGGAGGGGAGAAGAAUUCGAAGAGAAAAAGAGAGACAGACGAUAGAGAUAGAUAGGACGCGAAUAUUCAAUCAUCCAGUUCAAACAGGUCGUGGGUAUGGUAUGGACGGGAGGAGGACAAAAAAAGCGCGGGUAGAGCUUUCAAAAAGCAAGCAAGCAAACUCAUCGUUGACGACGGCCGGAAGAACGAAGUAUGAGGAGGGGAGAGAACGAUAAAGGAGGAGAAGGAGGAGGAGGAAGAAGUGGAGGGAAUGGGCGAGGGCGUAGAGGGGAAUGCACGAAUCGGAACUAUCUUUGAGUGUGUAUUACACGAGAGGAUUGAGGAGAGGAGUGUGAGAGAGAGAGAGAGAUGCGUAGAGAUCGAUGCGGAACGCAUCUUCGAUGAAUUCGACGCUUACAUAUAUAGGGUAGAUAAUGCACGAGAGACGCGAGACGACGGCCGGCAACUGACGCGAAAUGUUCGAGAAAAAGGCGGGAAAUUCAAACGUUCUCAAAGUUUAAAUAUCGACGACCUCGCCGAAAGAAAAAAAAAACAAGUGAACCGUAAUGCAAGGUGUAGUAACUGAUGGCCUCGAUAAAAAACGACAAAAAAAA